UACGGGGGAUGCAAGCGUUAUCCGGAUUUAUUGGGUUUAAAGGGAGCGUAGGUGGAUUGUUAAGUCAGUUGUGAAAGUUUGCGGCUCAACCGUAAAAUUGCAGUUGAAACUGGCAGUCUUGAGUACAGUAGAGGUGGGCGGAAUUCGUGGUGUAGCGGUGAAAUGCUUAGAUAUCACGAAGAACUCCGAUUGCGAAGGCAGCUCACUGGACUGCAACUGACACUGAGGCUCGAAAGUGUGGGUAUCAAACAGG
rnacentral:rRNA from 1 species